rnacentral:rRNA from 1 species
UGAAUACGAGACGCUAAGGCGUCGAAGUAGUGUAUGUCAUACUUCCAAGAAAAGCUUGCACUGUCAUAGAUAAAAAACGCCUGUACCAUAACCGACACAGGUGGGUAGGUAGAGUAUACUAAGGGGCGCGAGAUAACUCUCUCUAAGGAACUCGGCAAAAUAACUCCGUAACUUCGGGAGAAGGAGUGCCUUAUUCGUAAGGUUGCAAUAACAAGAUCCAAGCAACUGUUUAUCAAAAACACAGGUCUCCGCUAAGUCGUAAGACGAUGUAUGGGGGCUGACGCCUGCCCAGUGCCAGAAGGUUAAAGAAGUUGGUUAGCAAUUGCGAAGCUGAUAACUGAAGCCCUGGUGAACGGCGGCCGUAACGAUAACGGUCCUAAGGUAGCGAAAUUCCUUGUCGGGUAAGUUCCGACCCGCACGAAAGGCGUAAUGAUUUGGAUACUGUCUCGGAGAGGGGCUCGGUGAAAUAGACUUGUCUGUGAAGAUGCGGACUACCUGCACCAGGACAGAAAGACCCUAUGAAGCUUUACUAUAACUUGAAAUUGAAAUUGGACUUUAUUCGCGCAGUAUAGGUGGGAGGCGUUGAUUAUAAUCUUGUGGGAUUAUUGGAGCCAUCAGUGAGAUACCACUCUUGUAAUGUUAGAUUUCUAACUUUGAAUCAUUAUCUGGUCAAAGAACAGUUUCAGGCGGGCAGUUUGACUGGGGCGGUCGCCUCCUAAACGGUAACGGAGGCGUACAAAGGUUUCCUCUGAACGGUUAGAAAUCGUAUCUAGAGUGUAAGGGCAUAAGGAAGCUUGACUGUGAGACCUACAAGUCGAGCAGGGACGAAAGUCGGUCUUAGUGAUCUGACGGUACUGAGUGGAAAGGCCGUCACUCAACGGAUAAAAGUUACUCUAAGGAUAACAGGCUGAUCUCCCCCAAGAGUUCACAUCGACGGGGAGGUUUGGCACCUCGAUGUCGGCUCAUCGCAUCCUGGGGCGGUAGUACGUCCCAAGGGUUGGGCUGUUCGCCCAUGAAAGCGGUACGCGAGCUGGGUUCAGAACGUCGUGAGACAGUUCGGUCCAUAUCCGGUGUAGGCGUUAGAAUAUUGAGAGGAGCCUUCUUUAGUACGAGAGGACCGAGAAGGACAUACCUCUGGUGUACCAGUUAUCGUGCCAACGGUAAACGCUGGGUAGCUAUGUAUGGAGUGGAUAACCGCUGAAAGCAUCUAAGUGGGAAGCCCACCUCAAGAUAAGUAUUCUCACC